rnacentral:rRNA from 1 species
UACAGAGGGUGCAAGCGUUAAUCGGAUUUACUGGGCGGUAAAGGGCGCGUAGGUGGUUAUGUAAGUGAGAUGUGAAAUCCCCGGGGCUUAACCUCGGGAACUGCGAUCUUAUACUGCAUAGCUUGAGUACAUGAGAGGGUAGUGGAAUUUCCGGUGUAAGCGGUGAAAUGCGUAGAUAUCGGAAGAACAUCAGUGGCGAAAGCGACUUCCUGGACCAAUACUGACGCUCAUGGUGCGAAAGCG